UAUCUAUGAUUUAGUACCAGCAAAGAUAGCAAAGUACAAUAAGCAUGUAAAGUUCAUAAAAUAUUGAAAUUUGAGGAGAUGAAUUACGGUAAUUACUGCUGGCUUUGACUUGAGGUUGCGGAACCUGUCCAUUAAAUUAGCCAACUUGAUGCCUCACCCUGUAUAUUUUUUUUCUCAUUUAAUUUAAUGUUUACCUCCUCCUUCUUUGUCUUCUUUGCUAUUUUUUCUUUUAAGGUGAUACUUAUUAUUUCUGUUGAAAGGUGGAAUAUGAGUGAGUUAGAGACACUCUAUGAUUAUAACCAUCAGACCUUGUCCCAACCGUAGGUAAUGCUAGAAUGAAAUGAAAUAAAAUAAAAUAAAAUAAAAUAAUGCAGAACGUGCUAUUUUGACAUUUUCGAUAUGUUAUGCUUUGUGUGCUGUAUGAAAUAAAUCAUGGUAUUUUGGUUUCCCCAACAUCCAACUACAACCCCAGCCUAUGUACUUCCCUUUCCUUUCCUCUUUUUUUACUUCUUUUUCCUUCUGUGCCCCAAUCCGUGCCAGCUUCUCCCCUGCUUUCUUUCUUCCUUUAUCCUUGAAACCCACCUCAUCUCCUAGUUUCAUAACCUCUGACCCACAACAUGCUGCGUACAACCUUCAGGUCAAAUCACUUCAGUUUUUUUGAAUGUUUGAUCAAAUAUAUCACAGGUUCCAAAAUUCUAGUUCAUGGUUUUAUCUCACAAAGUACUUGGUCUGUUCAUCAUGUUUAAUUUGAGGUCUUGAUCUAGCUAUGGUGGCGAUAUGCCAUCUGGGAAGUUUCUGUUUCGUGAGAGAAAAAAUGAGGGUUUCAACUACCUAAUAGUUUUCUUUUUCUUUUGCUUUAGAAAUACUGUAGGAAAGAAACCAUCUGGAUUCUAAUCGCAUGCCUCUCUCCGGUGCAUGCAGUGAGGAAACCAAAGGACCCAAGUCCUAUUGACCAGACACCCGCAAGCUCAGAGCCCAACAAAUUUUAGUCCAUCUCCUUAACCAUUCAACAUAUUAACAUGAUUGCCUAUUUUAAAGAAUCUUAAAUCUCUCCUUCCAUCUAAACAUAGAAAUUUUAUUGGUUCAGAUACUCCAGACCAUCCUAGAAUCAUGUUGCUAAACCCAAAGCAAGCAAUUCUGACAUUCUGUAUCUGGAAAAUCACCCUUUCUCUCUUGAUCAUAGACUCUAGAAGGCAAUGACUGGUUUUGGCUUAUGGUUUUAAGCAUAUUGUUUAGCCUUGUGGAUUACUUCAUUGUAGCCAUAUCAAAAGCAUUAUGAUGGGUUUAUUAAACAACCAGCAAAUUGCCAUGAUCAUGGAGAAGGUUUGAAAAGAGUGGGCCAUGGGAAAAGAGUGGGAGAAGGGUAGACAUGGGCAAUGGGAAGAAAGAGAGGAUGAGAGGUGGGAGGGAGAGUAGCGGAUGGAGAAGUGAUGGACCGUGGGAGUUGGUGGGUGGUAGCUGGUGAUGGGUAAUGGGAGGACGAGGCAUGGAAUGUGGGAACCAUAGGUGGUCGGCAUAGUUUGUCGUGGUUGGAGGUAGGAGGAAGGAGAGGUGGUAUGGUGGUGGGAGAAAUAGGUGGCGGGCCUUUGAGCAACAUGAUGAGAGGAAGAGGGCUUGUGGUGAGUGGAGCAAGAAGAAACUAGAGGAGAAAGGCAAAAAAGUUUCUCAAUAAGGUUUUGAGUUUCAAUGUAUAGGACUAGCCAAUUUCUCAUGGGCUGUAGGGAUAUCAUGAGAUUUUUGACUCUUGGAAAUGACCAAACCUAUCUGCUCCUUUUUAACUUUAGGAGGGUAUUCCUUGUUGUUUUCCAUUAGGAUUAACCUGGUUGCUCCUUAAAAGAACUAGCGUGCACACAUAUGCGUAUACAUACAUAAACGUAUAUACAAACAUACAUAUAUACAUAGAGAAAGAUGGACUUGGCUACACCCAAAUAAAUCAAUUAAAUUCAGUCAAGUCUAUUGGAUGACGGGGGUCCUACAUCAAUGAUCCGAACUGUUGAAAAGGAUCUAUUACCUUUAAACUGCUUAGACACCAAACUCAUAUAGAUCCCUAGUCCAUGUAUUUUGACUACUUGAUGCAUAGGUUAGGAGUCUCCAAAUCUUGGAAUGUAAGCAAUUUAGAGGUAGUAGAUCACGCCCGAUAGCUCGGAUCAUCGAUGUGAGGCCCCCAUCAUCCGAUCUAGACUUGGCCUGCUUUGAAUGGAGAUCCACUUAAGUGUAGCCAAGUCCACCUCUCUCUCUCUCUUAUACAUAUACACACAUAUGUAUAUACAUAUACAUAUACACAAACAUAUGUGAUAUAUGAUACAUGCACACACUAGCUCAUAACCAUGCAUAGAUACACACACAUAGUAGAACUAUUGUUUGGCACCCAUAAAAUAGCACUUGUGAGGUUGGUCUUGACGUUAUAAUGAGGGCCUACACCAAACAAUUGGAUGUGAUCCACUAUCUCUAAAUUGCUUAUAAUAAAAAGAUUAUGUGAAUAUAGGGCUGGAAGUGGGCCGGGCCAGGCCGGGCCACACCCCUACCCAAGCCCGGUCUGAAAUUAUUUUCCGGGCUUCGGGCCUGGCCCGAACAGUUUUACAGAAACUCGGCCCGAGCCCAAUUGGGCUAGCCCGAUUGGACUAAAGUCCGCCAGGCCCGAUCACGAGCCCGGCCCGAGCCUAUUUGGUUGCCAUAAAGCAUUUAAUUUAAUGUCAAAAAUAAAUUUUGUCUCAUUUACAUGUGGUCAACCUAUUGGUUCAUGGCAUACUUUUUUGAAGUUUGGGAACAAUUUGCAACAAGCUUCCAACAUGCUGUCAACCCUCUAUAAUUUGUACAAAAUGCUUGGGCUCGGGCUUGGGCCGGGCCCGGGCCGGGCCAAUGAGAUACUUGAGCCCGGCCCGAAAUAGAAUGGGCUUAAUUAUUCAGCCCGAGCCCGGCCUGAAAUGCAUUGGGUCUUGCCCAUAGCCCGGCCUGCGGGCAUCCCGACCCGAUGGGCUUCGGGCCGGCCCGAGCCCACUUCCAGCCCUAUGUGAAUAUAUACAUACGUGCAUGCAUGCGUGCAUGUAUACAUAGUUUAUAUGAAACUGUUUUAUUGUCUUAGAAUAUUGUGCUGAAUUUGUACUGACUAUAACACGGCGUAUUGACCUAAAAAAAAGCAAAAAAUGUUCAAUCUGCCAACAUACUGUAGUUACUAUGUCUACUAUAUCAGAGCCUUUCUGUUUCUUGACGAUUGAUUUUAUCUUGUGUUUUGAAGGGCUCUGAGAACAAUAAACAUCAGAGAAGAGGGGGAAAAGCUUAAUAUUUGGGUAGCAUAUUUUAAUCUAGAAAAUGAAUAUGGAAGUCCACCUGAGGUAAAAUGGAGAUCUUUUACAGUCUAUUCUAUCUUUUGUUUAGUGGCACAAACUAAUACUGUGCCAUUAUCAGGAGGCUGUUAAGAAAACCUUCCAGAGAGCAUUGCAGUACUGUGAUCCCAAAAAAUUGCAUCUAGCUCUUCUGGGAAUGUAUGAAAGGACUGAACAACACAAGCUGGCAGAUGAGCUUCUGGAGAGAAUGACCAAAAAGUUCAAAAACUCAUGCAAGGUAAGUGAUGGAAUUUAUCCAUCAUCCCAAAUACGACAAGCUGAAAUCCCUUGUGGUAUUGUAGGUCUGGCUACACUGUGUUCAAAGCUUCAUGAAGCAACGCAAAGAUGGAAUUCAGCCUAUUGUAAACCGUGCUCUUCUGAGUCUGCCACACAACAAGCAUAUUAAAUUCAUCUCCCAGACUGCUAUCCUAGAAUUCAAGUGUGGUGUGCCUGAUAGAGGACGGUCUAUGUUUGAAGGUAUAUUGCGGGAGUAUCCCAAGAGAACAGACCUUUGGAGCAUAUACCUCGAUCAAGUAAGUACUCUCAGCCCCUCUAAUAUUCAGGAUUCAAGUGUUUGCCUUGUGCUGGAGUUACCUUCCCUGAUACAUCUCUCUUUGGCAGGAAAUUCGCCUGGGUGAUGUGGAAGUGAUACGUGCAUUAUUUGAACGGGCAACAUCUCUGAGUCUUCCACCAAAAAAAAUGAAGGUGCAUGCCCCUUUGCAGAGCUAUUGUAGACACAUUCUCUGUCUCAUUCUUUUAUAGCGUCCCACAAUUAAGAAAAUAUCAAGCUGUUUAAACCCUUUCUCUUCCAACAAGAAUAUUGCACAUGUAUGCGAAGCUUUUUAAAGGGUCAUAUGAAUAACUGAAAUCUUAAGCAGUGCAUGUUAUCUGAUGCACUAAAUUGGCCUCGCAUCAACCAGUGAUUAUGCUAGCAUUAUUCAAUGUAUAUGCUUCUUGUUUCUCUCUCUCUAUACUAAAAGCAUUAAACAGAAAAUUAUUUGGGUGAGCCAUUUAGCUAUAUGCAUUUCAACUUUUUUUAUUGCAUUCAUCAAUUGUCUGUCAACUUUGAAACUAUGGAGUGGAACUACAAGAAAAGGACGGUCAAGUUCUCAUUAACGAAGGUGGUAAUGCACUUGGAACCUUAGGUCCGUAGUUCUGUUUUGUUGGUUCACUUGGUUUUGAGUGAGUUGUUCGCAGUUCAUUCUUUCCCAAUGAUCUUUUGCAGUAGGAUGAAUACCUCUGCCUUUUUUAUUUAUAUUCUAAAAUAAGAAUUCAUAUUUAAUUUAAAAAUAAAAUUUGUGUUUAUUUACUAGAUUAUUAAUAAAAUAGUGUGGAUUUAUCAAAAUAUACAUGCUAGCUAAUUCACAAACAUCUGAGAAUAAAGUUAGGGCACGUGAAUUAAGUGAACUAAUCUGCAUGCAGAAAUUCUAAUUCCGUAAGGCCUGUCUGGAACUUCCUGCCAUAUCCGGCAGGAAUGGCUGGAGAGAGUGCAUAGAGGGAGGGAGGAGCAAGAGAGCAGGGAAGGGAGAAUAGGGUAGCAGGGUAGUGGGGCCUGAUCUGUGGGAUCAAAAAAUAAAAAAGAUCUCGAGGUGCCUCUGUUUUUUUGGAUCCUACAGGGAGUUGGCUGCACGGCCCUCCAGGCUCUCUGUUCCUCUUGUACUGCUCCCUCUCUCCCUUCACCCAGCGGUCCAAUCCCGGUCUAUCCGACCAGUUCUAGCCAAAAAGGGCACUGGGCUUUUCAUGUUAGACCAAACACCAUCUUGUGUGGGCGUGGUUAUACCAAUUUGCAAGUUGGUUGUGAUUAGAGCAUCAAGUAAACUAUACCCUUGAGUUUGUGUUAUACCAGACAGUUGAUAUGAUUUCAUAUUAUUAUACUUGAUUUUUCUAGUAGUCUUUAAAUUGCAAAAUUGUAUCGUCAUGGCAUAAUUUUCUUGAGAAUGCAUUAUCAUGGUUUUCUGGAGAACUUUUAGUGCAUUGUCUUCAAUAUUCUUGCUAAAUAGCAAAUAAUGAUCUAUAACAUCGUCUUACUCUAUAUUUGCAGUUCUUGUUUAAGAAGUAUCUAGAGUACGAGAAGGCUCGUGGUGAUGACGACAGGAUAGAGCACGUCAAAAAUAGAGCUUUGGAGUAUGUGGAGAGCUUGCUCGCUUGACAUUGAUCCGUGAGCUGGAAUUAUGGUGAUGGAACAUACUCCUUGUUUCUCAAGCUAACCCGCCAGAGUUGAUUAUCAUGUUUAAAAAUUCAUUCAGACAUCAUCCAUGCACGCAUGUUUGAACCCAAGUCGGAUUAUCAAAGUUGAAGCAGAUGCCCUAGCAUGGGUGGCUAUUGUAAGCAAUAGUAGAUCAUCGAGCAGAUUUACUGUAUUUUGAGCCUGAAAAAUAGCAUAUUUUUUUAUUUGUAUAUGUCCUAAUGUAACAAAUCAACUGAUACUUGAAGUGGAAAUUUUAUGAUAAAAGAAGUGUUAUGCUUGGAUAUAACUAUUUGUAAUUUAAUUUUGUAUAUGAUGCCUAUGUAUGAUGCACUUAAAUACAAGUAAAAGCAUCACACAUUACCUUUAGUCUGGCAAUUGAACAAGCAAUAAAAUUACACAAUGUAAUCCAGAAGUAUGCGAUCAGAACCUGGAUUCUCAUAUCCUUCAGUGAUUCUUGUUAAAUUUCUCAGUUCAACCUUUACUCCAUAUAUGAUAUGGAUAAAAGAUUCUAAUGUCCAAAUCAAAUCUUAUAAUAUAGAUUACAGUCGAAAAAUAAAAGAAAAAUAUCUUCUGGAGUAUAAAAGCCCACUUAAGGAGUGUUUGUAUAUGACAGGAUUUCCUCCAUUUGUUGUUUUGCAGAUUGUACAAAAAAGUUGCAGGCGCUUGAAUAACACACCAUAAAUAGGAGAUGUUAGCGCUGCGGUACCAAUAUCCAGUAAUAGAAAAUGAGUAAUUUUUUUAUAGAUUUACAUAUUUUAGCGUAAAAACUAGUGAGUAGAACAAAACGUCAGAUGACAAGGAUCCAUUAUGGUAAUCUCCAUCCAGUGUGAUAUGAUGCUGGAGGUUGCUUGCCAGUAGUUUAUCCAUCGAAGGAUCUGUUUCUAAGGUCUGAAAAGAACAGAGAAAAAAGAAGAAGAACAAAGAAAAUUCUGUUCCUAGUGACCUGUUCUGCUGCUUCACUGAGGCAAGAUGAGAAUUAGCUGUCAAUAACUAACAACCUUUAUGUUCUUUCUUCUUUCUUCUUUCUUUUCAUUAGUUAAUGAACAAGAGAGAGAGAGAUAUUAGCAUGCUUUACUAUGCUUCUCUUCUCCUGAACUGAUCAUAGGUAUUCUGAAUUUCGAGAUACUUGCAUUUUUUGCCAUGCAUUAAAAUUUUAAUCCUUAAUGCGGUCAUGCAUAAAUAAGGAAAAAUAUAUAGGGAUUAUAGAUUCAAGGUGAUGCCUAUAUGCAAAAUUAAAUGGGAGAGUAUCAUUAUCAAAGUGGUCUUCUAACAUUUUAAGUAAUUUGAAUUAAUUAUGUAUAGGUUAUCUACUCUAGAAAAUAUACAAACUUCAAAUUAACAGCAGAAUAAAAUACCAAAGUUUUCAUCUUCUUGCUUAUCGCUUGUGAUUCAACAAAGGAAUAGGAUCUCAUUUUCGUAUCACUUUCUUGACCCUCAACUCCCACAACAAUGCCUCCUUGCUCUUGACUCGAUGCAACUUGGUUUGAGUUGGCAAGAACUCAAUCUAGCUCAACCGAGUUAAGGUCUUCAGAAAUAAAAAUUAAGGACAUGAAAUGUUGUUUUUUAUUUGCUAAUUCAAUUGAGUCAUGAGUUGACUCGCCAAGUUUUUCAAAUUUGUUCGAAUCCAGAUGGUAUUUAUCAUCUAAUCUUGGUUAGGAAAUGGCCCAACAUCAUGGCAGCUGUGGAUUGGGUGGGGGAUGGGGUUGGCCUAGCUCAAGUUGCCCCAAGAUAGAUGAUUUGUUAUUAAAGCCACAGGAAUUUUAUAGCCACUGUCCAAUGACGUUGUUCCCUUCAUCCCAACCAACAAGGCACGCUGCUGUCGUUUUCAAAUAAGAACAGAGCUUCUCCUGUUCUUUCAUGUCUUCAUCCGCUAUAUUAAAGCUGAGAAUCUUCACAUCCAUCGUCAACCUUUGUGUUAAUGGAGUUAUCCAGGGAGAGGCAUCUUUAGAUCAUCUGCUACAAGAGUCGCCGGUGAGCUUACCCCUUCAGCCUUUCUGCUUUCAUGUGAUGUAAAGAAUUACAAUAACUACAACAUUAUCAUGGCUCCCAUUAUUAUACUUUUAAAUGCCAAUACUCUAGCCAUUUUGAUUCCUAAUAAAUCUUUGACCCUUCCUGUUUGGCUCAAGAAAAUUGAAUUUACAUAAAUUUUAGAAAGAUUAUCGGCUAAAAAAGUAACAUCUUAGUAUGAAUAAUUAUCGCUAUUUUAUAUUUUAGUAUUUAAUAUUUACCUAAACAUACAAAGAUGCUAAAUCCAAAAUAAUAUCAAAGUGCAAAUAACUAUCUUGUCAAAAAAAAAAAAUCACCAAUUCAUUCUUAUUAUCUGUUAUUCUUCAUUGGGAUGAGCAGCUUAAUGAAUAAAAUAACAGUGUUAGCUAAACCUUGAACGCAGUAAGAGCUUAUAAAACAACGAUGCCGUUAUGCUCACCGAUGGUAACCAUACCCGGGAUCUUUUUUAUAGUACCCCCCCUCCUCAUUCCUUUGGUUUGUUAGCCUUUCGCUUCCUUUCGGUGCUAACAAACCGCCGAAUGAUUUCAACGCCCCAACCGUCUUUUAUGGCGAUAAUAACAUCUAAUUAUAGCGUGAUAAAACCAUACCGUGCGGUCUACCGACCAACCAUCUCCGGAUUUUGUUGGUCAUUACAUAUACCCACAAGGGUGUUCGAGUCAUUGCAAAAUAAUAAAUUAUGGUUAUAGAAUAGAACAGUUAGCCUAUUAGCAGUAUUGAACAUUUUAAAUAAAAGUUUUGAUGGAUUUUUUUAUUUUUUUAUCACGAUCAAAAAGGUUAUUUUUGUUUAUUUAUCUUUAAAAAAUGAUAAACUUUAAUGGUCUAAAAGUAUUUGGGCGUUGAAAUACAAUGAUCUAAUAAAAUUUAUGAAAGACGCUAUGAGGUGUCUAUUAGUAUAUACAAAAAGUUUCUUAAAUCCACAAAGGAGAAUUUUUUCCAUAUGCACGAAACAAAAUCCCAUAACAUUAUUAAUAAAAAAAAGGUCUGCUUUGCAAAAUAAAAAUAAACUAUUUUUCUCUUGUAAAUUAAUCUAAAUAAAAUUGAUAGUUUGAUACCCACCGGAGGUUGAGCUGACCUAAAUACCCUCCAAACUUCAUCGUCUCUUUCUCGCUACACGGGAAGAAAGAAAAGGUGGUUGCGUUUCUAUAAUUUGAAAAAACCGCGGGAAACUCUCUCCCGGUUCUCAAGCGCGCCUCCGUAUAUAAACUGCGAUCGUUCUAAUCUAAAUUUUUCUCACUAAAAAGAAGGAAGAUAAAGGUAUAAAAAAAAAAGAGGAAAGGAACAAGUCCGAGCGCUCUCUCGAUCCGCGAUUAUUCGUUUCCAAUUCCACGAGGUUGGUUCUUUAAUCCAUUCUUUUUUCUACCAUCCUUGCAUUUUAGAAAUACUCGAACACAAGAUUAUAAUAUAGGAAUUGCCAGGCCUGCCAUAUCUUCUUUCGGAUUAAAAAAUGGAUAAGAAAUUAAUACCUGGUUAAAAUGGUGGGCCUCGCCAUGGAAUUGUUUUGAAUUCUUUCCCUAUCCGGGAUUUUUGCUUCCUCGGGGAAGCCGGCAGUCCCCCCAUCCUACGUUAUAUUUAUUUACUUUGGGAGGUUGGAAAGCAUCGAUAUGUGUGAAGUAUAUUGAUGUUGGAGCGAUCCCUUGGCAGUAGCGGCUGCAUGGAGAGUUCCAAAGGAGGAGGAGAGGUGAGAAGACUCAACAUCGUCUACUUCCUAAGCCGGAAUGGCAGAGUCGAACACCCUCACCUUAUUCGGGUUCACCACCUUCAUCGUAAUGGCGUUCGACUUCGCGGUAAACAUACGAGAUCAUUAUUCUUUACAUUUUUUUCUUCUUUUUUUUUCGCUUUGUUCUCGUCCUUUUAUUCUAGUUCAUAUAUUAUAUUGCGAUUGCGGAAAUAUAUUUGUAGAUGUCAAGAGAUGGUUAUCAGAGUUGAGGGGGAAGGAGAUGCCGGAGUCCUUCGCUUGGUCAUAUAAGAGGUAAUGGAGGAAGGAGAAAAUAGAUAGAAAAGAGAUUCUUCUUUUGCUUUUUGAAUGCUUAUGAAUCUGGUCUUGCAGGAGAUACAAGACGGGGUACGUGUGGCAGGAUUUAAUGGAUGAUGAUCUUAUCACACCGAUCUCCGACAAUGAAUACGUCCUCAAAGGCUCCGAAUUUUCUGAUGCUCCAACUUUCCAAUCUUUCAGUAAUCUCUUAUGUCAUUCUCUAUUUACCUUUAAUUCUAUUAGCUAGCUUUGCGACGAGUUUUAUAAGUACGGAUAAUUAUGUGGGGCAGAUGAGCAGUCUUGUGGUGAUGGGAAGAAACCAAAAGCAGUGGAAGAAGAAGAAGAAGAAGAAGAAGAAGGAGAAGGGACGAAGAAGGUGGCGCCCGAGAAAACCGCCGCUGACACGCUCCAAAUCGAGCCCGACGACGACGGCGUCUCUCCGAAGCCACCGCCGUGCUUGGACCAGGACUCGCCGCCCGGUCAGCCGCAGGGCUCGGAUGCAUCGGAUGAGCCGAUCCGAAGAGCCGCUUUGUUUAAGUUGGAUUUGUCGAGGGAGCUCGAGAAGGAGAAGGAGAAGAAGGGAGAGGAACGGCAAGGAGCUUCUCCGGCGAUGGCAUGUCAUAGUAUCAAUCACAGCAACAGGAGCAAGAACAAUAAAAACAAUUACUCUAGCAGGGCUUCGCACGUGAUUAGGAACAUUCUCACGUGUGGGCAAGUGGAGACGAAUGACUCUGCCUUAAGGACCAUCGUGCGGAGGAACGGUGGUGAUGGAUCCCAAUCAUGCCAUCAGGGGGACAAGUCCAAUAAUUCCAGGUAUUGGUUUGAUAGUUGAUAUAUUUCCAAUGCUACAAAAAAGAUUUUAUUUAUUAUUUUUUGAAAUUUACUGUUGAAAUUUGAGUAGAAAAGGACGGUCAACGAGUGGAGCGAAGACAAGGCCGGGAGAGAAGGCAGUCCCAGCGGCCUACAAGCCGGCAGCAGCGCCCAAUUGCUCGUGAGUACUAACGUCUUCUCGACCAGGUCUCAUCAUUCCUCUCCGCACUUCCACCAAGUGCAUUUAAGCCGCUUGCUCACAAAAUAAGGAACUGAUAUUAAUAUAUCUAUAUUUAUCUUAAUUUUAAUUACUAAAUAUAGAUAUAAAUAUAAAUAUUAAAUUAACUAUAAAAAUUUAUAUUUAUAUUAUUUUAAAUAUAUGUGAAUAUAAAAGUAUAGUUAGAAAUACAAAUAUAAAUUGAUUAAUUAAACUUUAUAACUACAGGAUUAAAGGUAUUAUUAACUACAUGAUAAAUCAAGCCAGUAAAAUUGCUAUAUAAAAUUAAAUGAAAUUAUAAAUAAAUUUAAAUAUUUGAAUAUGAAAUAGAUAGUUGUCCAUCUAUACGUAUAUUUGUUUUUUUUUUAUGGAUAUGAAUAUGGAUACGGAUAUUAGUUGGAUCCAUUUUGAUCUCUAGUAGUUGCACUGUAACAUGAAAGUUAUUUCCCCCUAAUGGCUGAUAACAAAGACGCAAUCCAUUAGCAUCGGCAACUGGGUGUUUUACUGCUGCAAUAGACCCACAUGAAUCCCAUCUCUCGCCCACAUUGCACUGUACUCGUUUAGCUUGUCCUUAUAUGACACGCCUGUUGUUGCUACUAUUCCGGACCAUAUUGUUUAGGUGAAUUCAUCGCUUGACAAGCGCCCGUUUAGACUGGCAUCAGUUGUAGUCAUCACUGCACUCACUAUAAUGGAUCCCAAAAAGCAGAACCAUCUUGUGCUCGAGCAAGAUUGAUUCAGAGUCAAUGCACAAAAUUUAAUUUGUUUAACUAGGAGGCUUAGGAUGCAGCAUUCUAACCACACACCAUAACCCGCUGUAAAUUCGACACCGACCAUAAAGUUGGUAGGAAAUGAAUUAAAUUCUAAUUCAGUCACAAAUGUAGGCCACCUGACUGCCUGAUUUGAGAAGAAACCAUCUAAUUCUAAAUUCAAUUUAGCUGUAGGAUUAAGUCAUGGGCAGACAAACCCAAGGCUAACCUAAAUCAAUGCAAAGGCCUGUUUUGCACAUUGAAUGGAUAGGCACUUUCUUCAUUCUGAAAAUUUGACGUCUCACCGGCAAACGGUGCUGGAACUUGGCCUAUGUCCAGUCUGAGACUUCAAAUCUGGAAACGUAUCAUCAUUCCUCUUGCUCAUAAAAUUUGCAGGCAAUGUGGAAAGGCAUUCAAGCCAGAGAAACUGCAUUCGCAUAUGAAAUCAUGUAAAGCUCUAAGAGUGCGAGGAAGAAGCAUGGACUCAGAGAGGAUGCCAUUAAGAACAGAGUCUCUACGGGAGGACUUUUCUACAGAGUCAGACCAGGGUUUUCUAUUGACGCAUUAGUUCUAUAAUCCUCUGCCUCUGUAUAAAGCUAGAAAUGUACAAGUCAUCCAUGUCAGUUUAUUGAAAAAUGAUUGGUGCCUCAGAUAAUAUUUCAAAUAUCAAAUUUGAAUAGUUCAAAAACCUGAUUUUAAUUCCCUUUUUUUGAGGGGUGGGGGAGGGAGAGAGGGAGAGACUUGGAUGGAGAUUAUAUGAUCAUAUGACAAUGUUAUUGAUUGAUAUAAAGCACUACUAACUUUGGUGCUAUUUUGGUUGACAUAUUGUUAUAGCUAAACAAAAAAGAAAAAAAAAAGCAGAAAAACUAAGGGGGCGUUUGGUAAUCCCAACAGGAUCACCACGGUGAUCCGAAUGCUGGGGUGAUUUGAUCCCCAGUGAUCUAAGAUCAAUUUGUUUGGUAGGCCAUGGUCCAGUGAUUAAAAAUUUCCGGAUAUCCAUAAGUAACUUAUUUGGCAUGGUACGUAGAUUCAAAAUCACCGACCACAUAAUACCACAAAUACCCUUGAUAUAUUUUAGAUGGAUUUUUUUAUAUGUUUUUAAUUCUCAUAAAUCAAAAAUGUAAGUCAAUAUGCUAAUUCUUAUAAUAACUCUAUAAUUUUGUCCAUAUUCUACUUUUAGUAGCUCUUAUCAUACAUUUAUUAAUUAUAUAAAAUAUAUUAUAAUAAAAUAGUAAUAUAUUUAUCAAUAUAGUAAUUAUUAAUAUAUUCUAUAAAAAUAUAUUUAUUGCUCCUAUAAAUUAUUAAUCUUAUAAAAAUAUGUUAUUUUUCAUUAUAGAAUUAAUAUUUUUAUUUAUACUUAUAAUAGAUUUUUUAAUACUAAUAGUUAUUUUGAUUAGAAAAAUAAGGUAAAUAGGAGUAAUAUAUUAAAUAUUUUCAUUAUAUAAAUAUAAAAUAUAAUAAUAUAUUUCUACUAUAAUUUAAAAGUAUCCUUCAAUAAUAAUAUGAUUACUAAUAUAUUAUAAUAUAAUAUAUAUCAUUAAUAUAAUAUAUAAUAUCAACAUAAUAUUAUAUAUAUAUAUAUAAUAUUGACAUAAUAUAUUGAUGGUAUAUUGAUAUAUCAAUUUUUUUUGCUAAAUUGAGGGGUAUUUUUGUCUUUAACUUUCAACCCAGGAUCACUACCCUAGGGAUCUUGAAUUCUCGACCUUAAGGACGGGUAUCCCAUCAUUGGAUUGGGUGGUGAUUUGAGAAGUGGAGGUGAUUUAGGAUCACUGCCACGUAGGAUCACUAUGGUGCAACCAAACGCGUUGGUCUCAUCACCUCCACCUACAUCACCCUUGAUCCUCGGACGAUCAUCCCAUACCAAACGGCUCCUAAAAGUAGUAACAAAGCAACAAGAUUUGAAGACAAAAAAAGGAAAACAAAACAAAAAAAACAUCUGACUCCAUUAUUUGCUUCGCUUUAUUUUUUCCGCACACUUAUUUCCACAAAUAAAUUUGAAGAGGGCUUAAAGCAACAUUUAGUUACGGACUCCAUAGUCUCCGCUGAUAUAGUAGCAAAAACUAAUUAAAUUCUUGUAAAUAUCAACGAUCAACAUCAACUUGAGCAGCAUACAUAUCUAGAUUUGUAACUGCAGUUUUUUGUGGAUGUCUAACUAGACAUUUCGUGGAUUUGAAACCAUUUAUCAUUAUUUAAGACAUUAAACUGCUAAAAUCUUUUAUUUUUUCUAUGGAAAGAGGUUAACAGACAAUGGUGUGAGGGCCCUGUCUAUUGACAGGCUCGCAUUUGGUUGGGCCAGUGGACCAGCCCAAUGUGGCCGGCCCAAGGCCACGUGCCAUGGCACGAUACAAUAAAGAAGAAGAAGACUCCGAUUGGAGUCUUUUUCUUCCUUCAAAUCUGGCAGAAAUUGAGGACUCCUUAGGCAAUCUAAGUUCAUCUAGAACUCGGGGCGAACUCGGGGCUCCAUCCUACUAACCGGAAAUCAGGAUUGACUUCGCCUCUUUAGCUUCCUUCUUCCUCCUUAGAUUUCCUCCACAGAAAACGCCAAAGAUCGCUGCCAAUUUCAAGCUUCUUCUCUGAGCCUUCUUCCUCGUUUUCUCGUCGGAAAGAGCUGCUGGAGGCUUCGCCGGACCAAGGUAACUGCCCAAUGCCUCCUUCUCUUUUGUGGUUUUAGAGUUGAUUCCAUGAUGAUUUGGGCCGGUGAAUUGCUGGAUUACCUUCCGAAACAGGAUCCCCUGUUUCGGCUUCUUCCUCCCGUGCUCGCCGCCACCAGCCGCCGGGAUUAGUCAAGCUCUGCCACCUCCCGAGACCUUUGAGAGCAUGUGGUUGCCGGUUAGGGAGUUAGCCAUAGUUUAUGCCGAGUUUGAUCAGUUUUUUUAUAGUCUUCUUCUUCUUCUUCUGUCCUUCUUGUGCCGGCCGGUCACCGUCAUUGGUGGUGUCGUGGCCGAAGGGCUACCAAGGCCAUCGUCGUCGAGGGUUGGGCCACCUUGGCCAGCCACCCUCUUUUCCCUUCUCUUUAGCUAAGAAAGAAAAAAGAAGAAAAGAAGAAGAAGAAGAGGAGAUUAGACAACCAUCCCUCUUUUUCUCUCCCAGGUUUCCUCACUCCUCUCUCUAAUUUCUCUCUCCUCUCCACUUUCUCUUUUUAAAAUGACCAAGGAACUUGGAGUCGAAUCAUGUCGACUUGAUCUACGAACUCGAGUUGAUCCUUGUAAAGGGUCCUAGUUCCGUCCUGGUGCCCGGACUGCCUACUGGCCCGAUCACCCCCAUCCUAUUGAAUGUCCUUGAACCUUCACUGAUGAACCAUGUUGAUUAACCUUAGCCCUGAUCAAGUACAUGCCUAUGAUUUAUUUAUUGAAUCGCUCAGGUCAUACUCACCUGAAACCGUCGAACAUUGUCACCCGACCAACCAUCUUAUUUCCUAUUUAUUUAAAUUCGAAUAGAAAUUAAUCUCGCUUUUAAUGUUUUUAAUAUGGUUAAUUGAAUCGCCCAGUAAAGUUUGACGGUUUAAGACCAAAGAAGUAAGUAAAUUUAAGCUCUUUACUAGUUUUCAAUUUCCACUUAUAUUUUAGUAUUAUGAAAAUAUAAAAAUAGUGUUAAAUAUUGAUGAUAUUAUGUUUUUUAAAAAUUAAAGACAAGCAUAUGAUAUUAUGAAAUUUAUGAUCUAUUGUGAAUUAAUGGAUUCAUGAUUGCUUUACCGUUAGACACUAUUUGUGAAUUAUGAACUUUAUAUUUAUGAAAUUGUAUUUUUGUUAUGAAAAAAAAUAAUUUAUUAUUAAAUGCUUAUUUAUUGGUUAUAAACUCUAUAAAGUCGUUUAAUGUUUUAAUCAUAUAUGAUUCAAAGAAUAUGAUUUAAGAAAAAAUAUCUUGAUGAUUAUGGAAAAAAAGGUUUUGAGAUAGCUGCAAUGUAUGUCUCCUAAAAGUGGGGUAGAUCGACAUUCAGUUUUAUAUGACCUCGCCAGUAGGUAAUAGCAGUUGGCAUACGACCCUGCCCGUGGAUAAUAACAGUUGACAUACAACCUUCCCAGCGGAUAAUAACAGUUGGCAUACGAUCCUACCAACAGAUAAUAGUAGUUGGUAUUUGUCGAUUACAACCCUAUCACGGAUAUAAUAUUGACCAUAGCAUCUAGUGUGAGAGAAGUAAUUUGAGCAAUAAUAAAUAAUAUAUGAUUUUAUGUUAUACACCAUGAACCGUAUUUUAUGAAUGAUUUAUACAUACAUGAUUGGCUUUAUGAGUUGUUUUAAUGUACUGUACUGUGAAAUACUUAUUUUGGAAUAAUUAUUAUUUUUUUAAAUGAUGUAUUGGUAUAGAAAAACUUAUGCUUGAUACAGUACGAUAGUGAAAGGUUUACUUACUGAGCUGUCGCUUAUAUACCUCUAUUUUUAUUUUUCUCUCCAGACGAAUAAGAUCAGUAGGUACAAAAGUUGGUGGCUUGAAGUUCGCACUAGCAAGCUUGGCAAUUUUGUAGAAGACUUUUAGUAUUUUAAAUUUACUAUAAAUUUGUAGUCAGUAAUUUUUUAAAUAUUGAGAAUUAUGGGUUUGAUUUUUAUGUUUGAAUCUAGACACUCUGAACCAACAUAGUUUGAUUUAAUAAAUAAUAAAAUUAGAUUCCUAUUUAUUUAUUUAUAUUUAAAAUGGAUUUGAAAAUUAUAUGAAACGUUCGGCUUCAUGUUAUGAUGGCCCGUACCCUUCGGUAGCACAACCAGAUCAUACUCCGAAUCUAGGGCACAAUAAAUCAUGCUCUGAAUCUGGGCCAUGACAAAUGGGCAAUACAACAUAAGAAAAACCACCCCCCGUCAACCACCAACACCGCAGCUCAAACUUCUCCAAGACAGCUGAAAUUUUUAAUUCCACAGAAUUCGAUAUCUUUAAUUUUAAGUAAGAAAUCAUUUCGUUCCCGUUAUAAUUGUUCUGUCCAUUUAUUCAAAGGUCAAGCACGUUUCUUUGAUGUCAAAACGAUUAAUAAGCUAAUUCACGCAUUCGCAUUGGUAAUGCUGAUGUCUAAGGUUUUGAUCUCAGUUAUUUCAUAAAAAAAUAAAAUAAAACUUUCUCAAGGAGAUCAAUCAGUGGGUGUCUUGAAGGGAAAGUUCAAUGUUUACUCCUAUAUUCAAGUCCAGUGAGUAGCAAUACAAGGUCUUCUAUUGCUAUCCUGGGGAACAAUGAUAGUUCAAUAUUACAAUAUAUCAUCCAUCCAUCAUCACCAGUAAAAACACCAGUGAAAUUCAUCAGAUCAUCAAUCAAUAAUUGUCCAUAUUUCCCCCAAGGAACAUGAAAGUCUAACCUGGAGAAUAUAAACUUUGCUCAAUAACACUGCUAGGUUCAGGAAAGGAAGGCUAAAAUGGAGCAGAACUUUAAGCUUUGAUACAAUCCAUGGGAAAAACACUUUUCUUGAAAUCACUAUUCCCGCAAACAAAGGAAUGGUAAUCUAACGGACUUAUCAUCCCAAUCCACCAAAGAUAAACGAUAUUCUUGAAACAAAAUAUAAAAUGAGAAUGAAUAGCGUGUUAUACAUGAGCAAAACUUAUGGCAUGUAACAAAAAAGAAUUAUUUCAUUGCAAUAUAACACAAUAUCAUUAAAUUUUGUUUAUAUUACAUGAUCAAGUAUAUAUUCCAAAAAAAAAUGUAAAUUAAUUUAAACCUAAAAUAUAUAUAACCCAAUAAAACAUUAUAAAUAACAUAAGAAAUUCCCUUCUCACAAACUUCUUUGUUUCAGGUCCAAACAAUAGAAUAAGAAUGUCAAUUGCUGCUCCUUUUGUUAAUUCGCACUCCAUUCUUAUUUCUAGUUUGAUUAUUUUUAAUCCUAUAAACCAUACAUCUCGAAAGAAACCAUAUAUCUUGAAAGAUUUCUCAAUGACAUCUGCAGAUUGCAGAACCAAAAAUAAAAAUAAAUCAUGUUAUAACCAUUUCUUAUGCGCUUGGAAAUAUUCCUCUCUAAACACUGUAUGAAGAAUGAAACCAGGGAUAAAACGAUCCAACCGGCAAUUCAACACCAAAAUAUAAUCACGAAAUCCCACAAAAGAUAUCAUAUAAUUAUGAAUAGCAAGGGGAGGGAUAACAUUUUACAUAAGAACCUCUUUAAAUAAACAACUAUUCGAGAAGCUGUUGAUCUGCCUCCAGAAAGACUCAUAAAUUGAGGUAUCCAAAUAGGAAACCAGCAUAUUUGAGGACUUCAGAAAACUUCAAAAAAAAAUAGAGAAAAAUCUAAAACAUUAUGACAAUGGAAGAGGUUCUAAACAAGAAACAAAAUUAACCAUGCUGCACUUUGUCUAGCUUUUUAGCAACGUCACACAAACUUUAGAACACUCCAAAAGGCAUAAUUCAAAACCAAGUACUAAUACUGAAAGGAAAAAAUGACAAAGGCAUCAAGAUACUACAUAUUAGAAACAUCCUAUGUAGACAUGAUCAGAUCAGCGCAGCCUCCUAGCUUCCCUUUCGGAUUCAAGCAGGGUAAGGACAUCACCUUCCCUAACCGGGCCCUUCACAUUCCGCAUGAUAAGUCUAUUCUGAUCAUCCAAAAACUUGACCCUGACCUGGGUCACCUGACCUCUUGAUCCAGUUCGGCCCAUCACUUUAACCACGACAGCAAGCUUAACUUGAGUAUCCAUGCUGCAUACAGAGAUAACAUGGAACACAGUCAAAAAUAAUUAAAAAGGAUAAGUUUUUUAAGGUUUUAUGGACAAACAUGAUAAAGGAACUCCAAUGAUAAUCAAGAAUAAAUUAAGAAAGGAGAGAAGAACAAAUCUGAACACGAGUCCAAGUGGAAAAUACUUUCAGUGACAACAUGUUUUUGAAAGCUUGAAAGAAAUAGAUUAAGCAGUAGAAGUGGAUUUUUCUUAAGAUAUAACUGGCAAUGCACUAUCAGAUCUGAUGGCGCUUGCAUGAUCGCUACUAAUCACUAUGGGCUGCAGCAGAAGACAAUGUUAUGCAUGCUUUGGUAUAUAUACAUGCACAUACAUGGAUGGGAUCUGCUUGCUGGUUACAGAAUUGGGACAUAUGAUUAAUCCUACAUGUCUACACAAUGUCUUAACACUAGUUUUCUAUCACUUAAAUGCAAGAUAAAACAAAAUUUGCCUGUACCCUUUAAAAAUCAGUUGAUUUAAAGGGUUUAAAUAUCUUGAAAAGCAAGCACAGCAAUAUAAAAAUAAUUAGGUUAUUAUAAGGCAUUACUAUAAUUAUCUCAAGCACGAGAUCAUUGGGAGAAUGUUUCACACUGUUUUGCAUCUAAUAUCAUCUAGCAAUUCUAAAAUAAAGAUUACAAAUAUUAUCAGCCUCUAAGGAAAAGCAGAAGCAACAAGAGGACAGGAGCGAAAAAAGGAACACUCGAAUGUCUAUUCCAUUGUCCUAGAGAAUAAUAGCUGAUGUUCUAAAACAUGUCACUUUUCCAAAAGACAUAUUUCAAUGUGUAUUAAAAAAUAUACAAGUAGAAUUGUCGGAUUCAGGAUUCAUACAUAGCCACCCUCAAUUCCAUCCUGAGGCUGUCCGGUGAGGUAGAAAUAAAGCAAACUUUUGGAUGCCAUAAGAAUUCUAAAAAAUUCUAAUUCUUAGACUAGACAACUUGUUGCUGCUUAAAAUUUAGUCACAUUUUGUAAGAUACAUAAAGCUUGAAAACACCAGCAGAAUGCACGAAAAGGAGAGUUUGCAGCACUAGAAAUCCUUUAAAUAGUCAAAAUCAACAAUCAUUAAACACUUCUAAAUAUAACUAUCAAAUAACAUAAAUACAUCAGGAUGAAACAAUCCACAUGUGUCACAAAGUAUAAAACCCAACUAAGUCACCAUUCCAAAAGAAGUGGAAAAGGGGGGCAAAAAAGAAAACUGAGAGACACACAUACUUUUGGUUAACAGAACAUACACCAAGUCUUGAUGUCUACAAGCAAAGAGUGCAAGGGUAGUGUGGAGCCAACAAGCAGGAAACAUGAUGUUAGCCGGCAUUCAGAGAAUUGCAAAUUUGCAAACAGAGAGAAAUAAAAAAAAAGCAAAGAGCAUGGUUCAAAUUGAUCUAAUCAAUCUUUAAAAAAAAAAGCCAAUGAAAAUAAUCAUACUAUGUGAAAAAUUACAUAUGACAACAAGCAAAAGUUCUAGAUACCAUAAUUGUGUACAUAACAGCUUGUUUCUUAUUACAUUAACUUUUAUUUGUUUGGUAUUACAAUUAAGAUGUUUCUUAAUCAUAUAAAAAAAACAUGAGACACCAUAUGUAAAAGCACAUGCAUAGAGCCAAAAUUAAGGAUGCUACUGAAAAGAACUUGUUUAUUCUUAACAUGUAAAUACCUAUAAAUAUAGUGAAAGAACAAUCGUUGAAGCUAAAAUUUAUUAUACAGCAAUCAGUUCCCUGCAUCUCCCACUUUAGAGGUGAACCCGCAUUUUCUGCCUGCGCAAAGCCAUAAGUUACACUGUUUGGGAGAACUCUUUACAUAUCUCUAUUUUAUCAUUUAGUUAUCCCAGCCACUCAAUAUUGAAACAGGCAAAGAGAGGAUAAGUGAAAGAACAUUUCUACCUCCUAUUGAGUCAAUAAGCUUAAUAGGGGUCGGAAAGUGGGAUAAAAAAUUUAAAUUGAACAAGAUGGAACAAGCCGAAUAGCAUCGUAUGUCCCCACCAGCAAGCAAUUGGGAUAAAAAGGAAGAAUAGGCCAAACUAGUAGGUGGAGAAUCCUUUGUAAAAUAGGGAUGGAGUACAAAAUAGAAAUAAAUGUCUUUUGAGCCUAUUAACUUUUGAUCAUAUUUUCUUGGAAUAACCUUUACUCCCAGCUGACAAAAAAAAUAAUCAGAGUUUCGACAACAGGCAUCGAGCAGUAUUUAGAAAUCCUUACGGCAUAUAUUAGCGGGAAAUCCACAAACAUUAGCACAGACAUAGAAAUUUGGCAACAAUAUUUGUUGAUCCAAAUUUAUCGCAAAAAAAUAAAUAAGAUGUAAUAUGCCAUCAACGUCGACCAUGAGGCUAAUUGAUUUGUAGCCAAGAAACAGGCUAUAACUCGCAAGCGGGAAAGUAACAAGAAAAUAUUGGCGGAAAGUCAUAAGCCCAACUAUAAGAUAAACCAUCGAUCUAUGCGAACACCAAAUCAUUAAAAAUCUGCCAAUAUAUCGAUGCAGUUAAAGAGAAAGCCAUAAGAGUAGUGAAGAAAUCUAGAAUCAAGAGAUAUUCCCAACCUUAAUCAAAAAAACGCAAGCAAAAGAUCGAGUUUUGAGAACAAAUCCGAGGAUUUAUUAGGGUUUGGGACGGGAUUCACCAACCUCUCUGAAAGCGAGGAGACGCUCGAAGCAGCGGGACGUGGGAGAUGGAGGCGGCUGCGAGCGAGUGGGCAAAACCCUAGUUCUGGGGGCUUAUAUAGGCCGGUUUCGGCGAAUUCACAGUCUUGCCCCCACGGUGGCACGGACGCGGGCACCCGGCACGUGCUGGGCAACAUUUAGGGCAUAGCCGCAAUGACGGCGUUAUAACGGACCCAACCAAUAUAUUUUUGCCCCAUUAAAUACUUUUUAUUUAUGUUUAGUGCUAAAAUAAUUACCGCUACAGCAACUCUUCGAGCAGUAAUGAUAGAAAAUAAUGACAUUUUUUUCCAAUGACCAUUUUUUUAAUUAAAAAUAUUUUUCAUGCUGUAUAAUCUUUUCUGGGCAAAACAAUUUAAAUUCUAAAAAUAUUUUAUUAGAAAAAUUGUACAGAUAAAAAUAAUGGCUAUUAUAUACAUUGUAACAAACCAUAAUAAUGCUCACCUAACUUGUUAUAAGGAAUGUUAUUAUUUUUUUUGGUGACCAUAUAAAACAUAUAACAUAGUAGAGGGGCUUGAAUUCAUUUCUUGAAAAUUUGGGCUUAUAACUUUUAUAAUGAUCGUUCUAUCAAAUCUUACUUGGAGGACCAGAGGUAGGGUGGGAGAUGUUGUGUGGAUCCUACAGCAGAAUUACAAGGCAGGGUCUGAUUAUGCUUGGGUCUAUUGGCUAGGGCUACACCCGAGAUUGUUUUUGUUUCUAUGGAAGGUAGUCUGGAACUGCCUUCCGACGAGAUUGCUGCUGAGUAGAUGUGGAGCGAGUAUCCCCCACUGGACGAUGUGUGGGGAUGACGAGACGGUCGAUCAUGUGUUGUUUUAGUGCAUGUGGGCGAGGAGAUCCUGGCGUCUUUCAGAAUUUCCACAAGAUGCCUGGGGUAUGCAGGACCAGUUUUUACAGGUUAUUCAACACUGCUCGAGUAGCCCCCAGCGGCGCCCUAUGGUUAUUGGAGCUACCUGUGUUGCUUACCAGAUCUGGUUGGCUAGGAACGCUCAGAUCUUUGGUGAACGUAGCUUAUCUCCGAGAUUUGCGGUGGAGCAGGCACGAGUAUAGACAAUGGAGUGUAUUCAUGGUACCUAUUCAGGUGGACCUUCGACAGUUCGGGAUACCUGGGGCUCCUUUUUAGCUUAGGUAGCGCAUCGUACAAUGUUCUUCACCUGGGAGCCCCCACCUCCGAACUUUCUCAAGGUCAAUUUCGAUAGGUCGGUAGUGGAUGGAGGGCGUCGAGGAGGCGUGGGGUUUGUCAUCAGGGACCCAGGUUUGAGGGUGGUGGCGGCUGGUGGUUGUCAGAUAGCUGAUACCUCGGUUUCUGGUGCUGAGUUGCGAGCUGCAUGGGUGGGUCUUCGAUUUGCGCGAUGCGUCCUAUAGGCCAGCUCUAUCACUUUGGAAGGUGACUUGGCCAUAGUGAUAGGUUGGAUACAGGGGGCCCGAGUGGGAUGGGGGGACCACCCUCUGAUUCGAGAUAUCUGGGCAAUGGGGACGGAUGGCGAAACCUUCCAAGCCCGAUAUGUAUUCAGGAAGGCCAACAGAGCCGUGGGUUGGGUGGCAGCUUAUGUGGCUAACCAUUCGGACCGUACUCUAUGGACCCAAGAGGGGGAGCUGUCUAGGGCACUCUGUAAUGUUUUGUUUUCAGAUUUUAUUGGGUGUAUUCGUACUCAUGCAGUAUGAUGUGCCCGCUCUAACAAAAAAAAAAAAAAAUUUAAGGAUGUGCAUCACUGCACUCACCUUAAUGGAUCCCAAAGAGCAGAACCAUCUUGUGCCCGAGCAAGAUCGAUUCAGAGCCAAUGCACAAAAUUUAAUUUGUUUAACUAGGAGGCUUAGGAUGCAGCAUUCUAACCACACACCAUAACCCGCUGUAAAUUCGACACCGACCAUAAAGUUAGUAGGGUACAAUUACAAAGGAAAUGAAUUAAAUCCUAGUUCAGUCACAAAUGUAGGCCACCUGACUGCCUGAUUUGAGAAGAAACCAUCUAAUUCUAAAUUCAAUUUAGCUGUAGGAUUAAGUCAUGAGCAGACAAACCCAAGGCUAACCUAAAUCAAUGCAAAGGCCUAUUUUGCACAUUGAAUGGAUAGGCACUUUCUUCAUUCUGAAAAUUUGACGUCUCACCGGCAAACGGUGCUGGAACUUAGCCUAUGUCCAGUCUGAGACUUCAAAUCUGGAAACGUAUCAUUAAUCCUCUUGCUCAUAAAAUUUGCAGGCAAUGUGGGAAGGCAUUCAAGCCAGAGAAACUGCAUUCGCAUAUGAAAUCAUGUAAAGGUCUAAGAGUGCGAGGAAGAAGGAUGGACUCAGAGAGGAUGCCAUUAAAAACAGAGUAUCUACGGGAGGACUUUUCUACGGAGUCAGACCAGGGCUUUCUAUUGAGCAUUAGUUCUAUAAUCCUCUGCCUCUGUAUAAAGCUAGCAAUGUACAAGUCAUCCAUGUCAGUUUAUUGAAAAUGAUUGGUGCCUCAGAUAAUAUUUAAAAUAUCAUAUUUGAAUAGUUCAAAAACCUGAUUUUAAUUUCCCUUUUUUUUUGAGGGGUGGGGGAGGGAGAGAGGGAGAGACUUGGAUGGAGAUCAUAUGAUCAUAUGACAAUGUUAUUGAUUGAUAUAAAGCACUACUAACUUUGGUGCUAUAUUGGUUGACAUAUUGUUAUAGUUAAAGAAAAAAGAAAAAAAAGACAGAAAAACUAAAAGUAGUAACAAAGCAACAAGAUUUGAAGACACAAAAAAAGGAAAACAAAACAAAAAAACAAAUACUAACGACUAUUAGUUUNNNNNNNNNNNNNNNNNNNNNNNNNNNNNNNNNNNNNNNNNNNNNNNNNNAGACUCCAUAGUCUCUGCUGAUAUAGUAGGUAAAACUAAUUAAAUUCUUGAAAAUAUCAACGAUCAACAUCAACUUGAGUAGCACACAUAUGUAGAUUUGCAACUGGAGUUUUUUUGUGGAUGUCUAACUAGACAUUUUGAAUCAUGUGGAUUUGAAACCAUUCAUCUUUCUUUAUGAUAUUGAACUGCUAAAAUCUUUUCUUUUUCCUAUGGAAAGAGGUUAACAGACAAUGGUGUGAGGGCUCGAUCCAUUGACUUGCCCGCACUUGGUUGGGCCAGUGGGCCGGCCCAAAGUGGCCAGCCCAAGGCCAUCGUGCCAUGGCACGAUACAGCAAAGAAGAAGAAGACUCUGCGAUUGGAAUCUUCUUCCUCCAAAUCCGGCAGAGAUUGAGGACUCUUAGGACAAUCUAAGUUCAUCUAGGACUCGGGGACCGCCUAUUUAAUUUUCCUCUUCCUCCUUAGAUUUCCUCGACUGGAAAUGCCAAAGAUCACCGCCGAUUUCAAGCUUCUUGUCUGAGCCUUCUUCCUCGUUUCCUCAUCGGAAAGAGCCGUCGGAGGCUUCGCCGAACCAAGGUAACUGCCCAACGCCUCCUUCACUUUCUUGGUUUUAGAGUUCAUUCCAUGAUGAUUUGGGCCGGUGAAUCGCUAGAUUACCUUCCGAAACGAGGUGCCCUAUUUCGGCUUCUUCCCCCUGUGCUUGCUGCCACUGGCUGCCGGGAUUAGUCGAGCUCUACCAUCUCCCGAGAGCUCCGAGAGCAUAUGGCUACCGGUUAGGGAGUUAGCCAUAGUUUGAGGAUGAUNNNNNNNNNNNNNNNNNNNNAUAGUUCAUGCCAAGUUUGAUCAGUUUUUUUUACGAUCUUCUUUCGCUUCUUCCCUUCUUGUGCCGGCCGGCCACCAUUGCCGAUAGUGCUGCGGCCGAAGGGCCACCAAGGCCGUCAUCGCCGAGGGUCAGGCCACCUUGCUCGGCCACUCCCUUUUGCCUUCUCUUUUGCUAAGAAAGAAGAAAGAAGAAAAGAAGAAAGAAGAAAAGAGAGACAAGCAUUCCUCUCUUUCUCUCUCAUGUUUCUCCACUCUCUCUCCUCUCUCCACUUUCUCUCUCCUCUCUCCACUUUAUCUCUCCACUUUCUCUACUUUCUCUUUCCUCUCUCCACUUUCUCUACUUUCUCUCUCUUUUCUCCACUUUCUCUCUUUAGAAUGACCAAGGAACUCGGAGUCGGUCAUGUCGACUUGAUCUACAAACUUGAGUUGAUCCCUGUAAAGGGCCUUAGUUCCAUCUUGGUACCCAGACCGCCUACUGGACGGAUCACCCCGACCUUAUCGAAUGUUCUUAAAUCUUCAUUGAUGAACCAUAUUGAUUAACCUUGGCCCUGGUCAAGUACAUGCCCUAUCAUUUAUUUAUCGAAUCGCUCAGGCCUUACCCACCUGAAACCGUCGAACACUGUUACUCGACCAACCAUCUCAUUUUCUAUUUAUUUUAAUUCGAAUAGAAAUUAAUCUUGCUUUUAUUUUUUUUUAAUAUGGUUAAUUGAAUCGCCUAGUGACGUUUGAUGGUUUAAGACGAAAGAGGUAAAUAAAUUUUAUGCUCCUUAUUGGUUUUCAAAUUUAUACUUAUUUUUUAGUAUUAUGAAAAUAUAAAAAAAGUGUUAAAUAUUGAUGAUAUUAUGUUUUCUUAAAAUUAAGGAUCAAGCAUAUGAUAUUAUGAAAUUUAUGAUUUAUUGCGAAUUAAUGGAUCCAUAAUUGUUUUACCAUUAGACACUAUUUAUGAAUUAUGAACUCCAUAUUUAUGAAAUUAUAUUUUUGUUAUGAAAAGAAUGAUUUCAUAAUUAUUUUACUAUUAAAUGCUUAUUUAUGGGUUAUAAACUCUACAAAGCCAUUUAAUAUUUUAAUCACGUAUGAUUCAAAAAAUAUGAUUUAAGGAAAAUUGUCUUAAUGACUGUGGGAAAAAGGCUCUUAAAUAGCUAUGUAUGGCCCCUAAAAGUGGGGUAGAUCGACAUUUAGUUUUAUACGACCCCGCCAGCGGAUAAUAACAGUUGGCAUACGACCUUGUUGGUGGGUAAUAGCGGUUGCCAUACGAUCCUGCCAGCGGGUAAUAGCAAUUGGCAUAUGAUCCUCCCAGCGGAUAACAGUAAUUGGUAUACGACCCUCCCAGCGGAUAAUAGUAGUUGGCAUACAACCCUACAAAUGGGUAAUAGUAGCUGGUAUUUGUCAAUUACAGCCCUUUACAUAUAUAAUAUUGACCUUAGCAUCCACUUUGAGAGAAGUAAUUUGAGUAAUGAUAACUAAUUUAUUAUUUUAUGCUAUACACCAGGAACUAUAUUUUAUGAAUAAUUUAUGCAUGCAUGAUUGGCUAUAUAACUUGUUUUAAUAUACUGUAUUAUGAAAUACUUAUUUUGAAAUAACUAUUAUUUUUCUUAAACAAUGCAUUGGCAUAAAAAACUUAUACUUGAUCCGGUAAGGUAGUAAAAAGUUUGCUUACUGAACUGUGUUGCUUAUACACCUCUAUUAUUAUUUUUCUCUCUCCAGACGAAUAGGAUCAGUAGGAACAAAAGUUGGUGGCUUGGAGCUCGCACUAGCAAGCUUGGCAAUUUUGUAGAAAAUUUUAAUAUUUUAAAUUCACUAUAAAUUUGUAGCUAGUAAUUGUUUGAAUAUUGAGAAUUAUGAGUUUGAUUUUUAUGUUUGAAUCUAGACACUCUGAACCAACAUAGUUUUUUUUAAUAAAUAAUAAAAUUAGAUUCCUAUUUAUUUAAUUUUAUUUGGGAUGAAUUUGAAAAUUAAAUAAAACAUUUGGCCUCAUGUUAUCAUGGGCCAUGCCCUUUGGUAGCACGACUAGAUCAUACUCCAGAUCUGGGACACAAUAAAUCAUGCUCUAAAUCUAGGCCAUGACAAAUGAGCUACAUAACAUAAGAUAAACCACCCUCAACCACCAACACCGCAGGUCAAACUUCUCCAAGACGCAGCUGGAAUUUUUAGUUCUACUGAAUUCAAUAUCUUUAAUUUCAAGUAAGAAAUCAUUUCGUUCCAGUUAUAAUUGUUGUGUCCAUUUAUUCAAAGGUCAAGCACGUUUCUUUGAUGUCAAAACGAUUAACAAGCUAAUUCACGCAUUCGCAUUGGUAAUGCUGAUAUCUAAGGUUUUGAUCUCAGUUUUUUUAUCAAAAAAAUAAAAAUAAAAUAAAACUUUCUCAAAGAGAUCAAUCAGUGGGUGUCUUGAAGGGAAAGUUCAAUAUUUAUUCCUAUAUUCAAGUCCUGUGAGUAGCAAUACAAGGCCUUCCAUUGCUAUCCUGGGGAACAAUGAUAGUUCAAUAUUACAAUAUAUCAUCCAUCCAUCCAUCAUCACCAGUAAAAACCAAUUCAUCAGAUCAUCAAUCAAUGAUUGUUCAUAUUUCCCCCAAGGAACAUGAAAGUCUAACCUGGAGAAUAUAAACUUUGCUCAAUAACACUGCUAGGUUCAGGAAAGGAAGGCUAAAAUGGAGCAGAACUUUAAGCUUUGAUACAAUCCAUGGGAAAAACACUUUUCUUGAAAUCACUAUUCCCGCAAACAAAGGAAUGGUAAUCUAACGGACUUAUCAUCCCAAUCCACAAAAGAUAAACGAUAUUCUUGAAACAAAAUAUAAAAUGAGAAUGAAUAGCGUGUUAUACAUGAGCAAAACUUAUGGCAUGUAACAAAAAAGAAUUAUUUCAUUGCAAUAUAACACAAUAUCAUUAAAUUUUGUUUAUAUUACAUGAUCAAGUAUUGUUGCUGGAAAUUGGACCCGGGGGCGGUCGUCGGUCGAGGAGGGGGAGCGGCAGGUGGACACAGGAGAGUGGCGGUCCGUCGGCGGGCGGCGUCCUCCGUCGAGGUGCCUGCAGAAAAGCCGGUGGUCGGGUUUUCCAGCGCCGGCCAUCCGAUGCUUAAGUCAGAGGGGGGAGGGGCAAUCUGUGUUUAAAGGAGAAAGAGAAGAACAGUAUCUUUUGAGUUUUCUGUCUCCAACCCCCCUUUGAGAAGCAAGGGUUUCCUUUUAUAGGGGGGUCGGUUUACCUGCGAUGUGAUGGGGCGAGACCGUCGUACGGCUCGGCAUGUUGCUUGGACUGGCACACGAUCGGGUGAAUCAUUGCAUUGAUGUUGGAGAUGAGGCCGUCGUACGACCCGAGUUAGCACGCGCUCAGGUGAAUUAUUGCAUUGAUGUCGGGGGUAAGGCCGAGAUCAGAGACUUAUCACGGUUGACUGGACUCUGCUGAGCUGAUUUGCCGUGGAGAGCCGUGGAUCCGUAGAUGAUAGGAGCCAUGCGCAUUAAUUGUUGAGUAGGCCGGAGAUUCGCAUUAAUUGUUGAGUGAACCGGGGAUUCGCAUUAAUUGUUGAGUGAACCGGGGGUUUGCAGAGGUCAUGCGCAAUAAAUACUGGGGCAGUGGCAGGAUAUGACCCUCGGCCGGGCCUUGGAGGGGUACGGUCGUAGUAGGUGGUCGACAAGGACAGACCUCUGGGGUCGGAAAUUCUCCAGGUCGGAGGUUCUGAGGUCGGACGUUCCGAGGUCGGACGCCGACUUCGGUUGUCCAAGGUCGGCGGCUAUGCGGCUUCUUAGAGGCGGGGUUACUAUAUUGCUGGGGGAAAACCGUAUUCCCCCAACAAGUAUAUAUUCCAAAAAAAAUGUAAAUUAAUUUAAACCUAAAAUAUAUUUAACCCAAUAAAACAUUAUAAAUAAAAUAAGAAAUUCCCUUCUCACGCACUUCUUUGUUUCAGGUCCAAACAAUAGAAUAAGAAUGUGAAUUGCUGCUCCUUUUGUUAAUUUGCACUCCAUUCUUAUUUCUAGUUUGAUUAUUUUUAAUCCUAUAAACCAUAUAUCUCGAAAGAAACCAUGUAUCUUGAAAGAUUUCUCAAUGACAACUGCAGAUUGCAGCAUCAAAAAUAAAAAUAAAUCAUGUUGUAACCAUUUCUUAUGCGCUUAGAAAUAUUCCUCUCUAAACACUGUUUGAAGAAUGAAACCAGGGAUAAACCGAUCCAAACGGCAAUUCAACACCAAAACAUAAUCACGAAAUCCCACAAAAAAUAUCAUAUAAUUAUGAAUAGCAAGGGGAGGGAUAACAUUUUACAUAAGAACCUCUUUAAAUAAACAACUAUUCGCGAAGCAGUCGAUCUGCCUCCAGAAAGACUCAUAAAUUGAGGCAUCCAAAUAGGAAACCAGCAUAUUUGAGGACUUCAGAAAACUUCAUAAAAAAAACAGAGAUAAAUCUAAAACAUUAUGACAAUGGAAGAGGUUCUAAACAAGAAACAAAAUUAACCAUUCUGCGCUUUGUCUAGCUUUUUAGCAACGUCACACAAACUUUAGAACACUCCAAAAGGCAUAAUUCAAAACCAAGUACUAAUACUGAAAGGAAAAAAUGACAAAGGCAUCAAGAUACUACAUAUUAGAAACAUCCUAUGUAUGUAGACAUGAUCAGAUCAGUGCAGCCUCCCAGCUUCCCUUUCGGAUUCAAGCAGGGUAAGGACAUCACCUUCCUUAACUGGGCCCUUCACAUUCCGCAUGAUAAGUCUAUUCUGAUCAUCCAAAAACUUGACCCUGACCUGGGUCACCUGACCUCUUGAUCCAGUUCAGCCCAUCACUUUAACCACAACAGCAAGCUUAACUUAAGUAUCCAUGCUGCAUACAAAGAUAACAUGGAACACAGUCAAAAAUAAUUAAAAGGGAUAAGUUUUUUUAAGGUUUUAUGGACAAACAUGAUAAAGGAACCCCAAUGAUAAUCAAGAAUAAAUUAAGAAAGGAGAGGAACAAAUCCGAACACGAGUCCAAGUGGAAAAUACUUUCAGUGACAACAUGUUUUUGAAAGCUUGAAGGAAAUAGAUUAAGCAUUAGAAGUGGAUUUUUCUUAAGAUAUAACUGGCAGUGCACUAUCAGAUCUGAUGACGCUGGCAUGAUCACUACUAAUCACUAUGGGCUUCAGCAGAAGACAAUGUUAUGCAUGCUUUGGUACAUAUAAAUGCACAUACAUGGAUGGGAUCUGCUUGCUGGUUACAGAAUUGGGACAUAUGAUUUAUCCUACAUGUCUACACAAUGUCUUAACACUAGUUUUCUAUCACUUAAAUGCAAGAUAAAACAAAAUUUGCCUGUACCCUUUAAAAAUCUGUUGAUUUAAAGGGUUUAAAUAUCUUGAAAAGCAAGCACAGCAAUAUAAAAAUAAUUAGGUUAUUAUAAGGCAUUACUAUAGUUAUCUCAAGCACGAGAUCAUUGGGAGAAUGUUUCACACUGUUUUGCAUCUAAUAUCAUCUAGCAAUUCUAAAAUAAAGAUUACAAAUAUUAUCAGUCUCUAAGAAAAAGCAGAAGCAACAAGAGGGCAGGAGUGAAAAAAGGAACACUUGAAUGUCUAUUCCAUUCUCCUAGAGAAUAAUAGCUGAUGUUCUAAAACAUGUCACUUUUACAAAAGACAUAUUUCAAUGUGUAUUAAAAAAUAUACAAGUAAAAUUGUCGGAUUCAGGAUUCAUACAUAGCCACCCUCAAUUCCAUCCUGAGGCUGUCCGGUGAGGUAGAAAUAAAGCAAACUUCUGGAUGCCAUAAGAAUUCUAAAAAUUCUAAUUCUUAGACUAGACAACUUGUUGCUGCUUAAAAUUUAGUCACAUUUUGUUGGAUACAUAAAGCUUGAGAACACCAGCAGAAUGCACGAAAAGGAGAGUUUGCAGCACUAGAAAACCUUUAAAUAGUCAAAAUCAACAAUCAUUAAACGCUUCUAAAUAUAACUAUCAAAUAACAUAAAUACAUCUGGAUGAAACAAUCCACAUGUGUCUCAAAGUAUAAAACCCAAGUAAGUCACCAUUCCAAAAGAAAUGGAAAAGGGGGGCAAAAAAGAAAACUGAGAGACACACAUACUUUAGGUUAACAGAACAUACACCAGGUCUUGAUGUCUACAAGCAAAGAGUGCAAAGGUAGUGUGAAGCCAGCAAGCAGGAAACAUGAUGUUAGCCAGCAUUCAGAGAAUUGCAAAUUUGCAAACAGAGAGAAAUAAAAAAACAAGCAAAGAGCAUGGUUCAAAUUGAUCUAAUCAAUCUUUAACAAAAAAAGGCGAUGAAAAUAAUCAUACUAUGUGAAAAAUUACAUAUGACAAGAAGCAAAAGUUCUAUAUACCAUAAUUGUACACAUAACAGCUUGUUUCUUAUUACAUUAACUUUUAUUUGUUUGGUAUUACAAUUAAGAUGUUUAUUAUUCAUAUAAAAAAAACAUGAGACACCAUAUGUAAAAGCACAUGCAUAGAGCCAAAAUUAAGGAUGCUACUGAAAAGACCUUGUUUAUUCUUAACAUGUAAAUACCUAUAAAUAUAGUGAAAGAACAAUCGUUGAAGCUAAAAUUUAUUAUACAGAUCUCAAUUCCCUGCAUCUCCCACCUUAGAGGUGAACCCGUAUUUUCUGCCUGCGCAAAGCCAUAAGUUACACUGUUUGGGAGAACUCUUUGCAUAUCUCUAUUUUAUCCUUUCGUUAGCCCAGCCACUCAAUAUAGAAACAGGGAAAGAGAGGACAAGUGAAAGAACAUCUCUACCUCCUAUUGAAUCAAUAAGCGUAAUGGGGGUCGGAAAGUGGGAUAAAAAUUUAAAUUGAACAAGAUGGAACAAGUUAAAAUUUUAUGAAAUCGCACACUAACUCCGUCGGCCGAAUAGCAUCGUAUGUCCCCACGAGCAAGCAAUUUGGAUAAAAAGGAAGAAUAGGCCAAACUAGUAGUUGGAGAAUCCUUUGUAAAAUAGGGAUGGAGUACAAAAUAGAAAUAAAUGUCUUUUGAGCCUAUUAACUUUUGAUGAUAUUUUCUUGGAAUAACCUUUACUCCCAGCUGACAAAAAAAAUUAAUCAAGAGUUUCGACAACAGGCGUCGAACAGUAUUUAGAAAUCCUUACGACAUAUAUUAGCGGGAAAUCCACAAACAUUAGCACAGACAUAGAAAUUUGGCAACAAUAUUUGUUGAUCCAAAUUUUUUGCAAGAAAAUAAAUAAGAUUUAAUAUGCCAUCAAUGUCGACCAUGAGGCUAAUUGAUUUGUAGCCAAGAAACAGGCUAUAUCUCGCAAGCAGGAAAGUAACAAGAAAAUAUUGGCGGAAAGUCAUAAGCCCGACUAUAAGAUAAACCAUCGAUCUAUACGAACACCAAAUCAUUAAAAAUCUGCCAAUAUGUCGAUGCAGUUAAAGAGAAAGCCAUAAGAGUAGUGAAGAAAUCUAGAAGCAAGGGAUAUUCCCAACCUUAAUCAAAAAACCGCAAGCAAAAGAUCGAGUUUUGAAAAGCAGUGCUUUUUUUUCUUUGUUAUUGACCACCGCAAAUGUGUACUGAAGGAUUUUUUUUUUGGUGAUUUCAUUUGCUAUGUAUUGUCCUAAAACUCUUCAAUUAAUCGACUACCAUGUUCUAUGUCUUGGAUUUUGUUAGAUCCAAUAGUUUCGCGAUAUGUGAUAUUUCUACAUCUGUACAAUUUCUGUUCAGCAAUCCAUUAUAUCAUAUUUCAUUUUUGGGUGCUUGACGCAAUCUAUAUUUCAUUGUAAUUUGCCUAACAGUUUGAUCUGCACAAGGUACUUCUUUAGUGCAUGACAGCAUUGAUUCUUGAGGAAAAAUUACUGCUCAAAUUGUAUUUUCUGUACCUCAAGUAUUUGGAGGUUUUUAUUCAGUAGUAUCUUUUGGGUGUCCUUCUAGAUGCUAUGUAUUGUUAUUUUAGAAAUAUGAAAAGCAACAUGUGAGUUUCUGUAUUUCUUUUGUCUUUAUGUGCUUAAAGUGUGGGACAUAUGGAGCUUUUCAUCCCAAGCUCAUUUGUGUUUUGUGAUGCAUUAUCCAAUGUUGGCUAAAGCCAUUGCUGAAGUAGCGCAGUUCCUUGACAGUAGUUGCCCGCUUGGUCUCAUAAUUAUAAGAUGCACUUGAAAAGAGACCAAGGAUGCUAUUCAUGUGCUUAUCUUGGAUGAAAUGUGUGUCCUCUUUUGCUUGAAACCAUAAAAUCAUUAGAAAUAAAAAUGUGGGAACCAAAGCUGCUUGAGAAACUUUCUUCUAUGUAUAUGCUAAUUAUUUUGUAGCUUCCAGCAGGGAGGUGAUUCCAGCAGGGAAAAGGAGAUUUUUUACUGCAAUAGCUUCUAUCUUGCACAGUGUUAAGGGCUCAGAAGAUGUGGUUGAUGGUGCAAAGUCAAAAGUAGGUGAUUUUUAGAUCACUUAAUGCCUAAACUUUUUACUGUCAUGUCAGUUUUCUUUAGUUCAGAAGAAUCAAUCUAUAUUCAUGAUGACAAUUUCAUCUUCAUGGUUUGCUGCUAGAUAAUUUGAUGGCAAGUUUGGUGCCAAAUUUGCAGAUGUUACAUGCUAUAUGUGAUCUUGGCCUUUCAAUUGCAAAGACAUUGGUCCCAGACCAGACAGAUAUUUCAGUGAUCAGCACUGUUCCCCUGCCACCUAUGUUAUACAAGCCUGUCGGGAAAAACAACGAUGUAAGCUCUGUGGUGAGUAUUUUUAACAUAAGCAUAUAACAAAUUUCAAUUCCAGGUGAAUGUCAAAAAAGAAGAUUGACAGUUCCAUGUUAUGAUCAGUCAUCUUGCUAUUGUUACAAACUUAUGUUUUUGUCACGAAUAUCACAGCUGCAUUUUCUAGGGUGUCUUUGAUAUCAUCAUGGGUUAACAAUUAUAUCUAAUUUAGGAUAAACUUUGAGUUAUUACUCAAAAUGUAUGUCACUCGUCAGGGAUUUGACCAAAUAUUUUGACAAGUUAAUGGUUAAUAAUACUACUUUUGCAUAUCUUUGACAUCACAGCCAACAAGGUCUCUAGCAAUAAAAAUAUAAAAAAAAUGUUAUAAUAGUUUCUUUUAGCAGAUAUGCAGUUGCGGUUACUUGAGGUAGUUUUUUUAUAUAAUAACUAUAGGAAAUAAUAUAUAUCAAUAUUGUUUUUGUUAUUCUGUAUGGGGGCGUUUGGUAACCCCAACAGGAUCACCACGGUGAUUUAAGAUCCCCGAUGAUCCGAAUACUGUUGGAAGUUGAUAAACUUAAUUAUGCUGAAGAAUUCAAAGGGUCAUAUGAAGUAUCCAAAGGGUCAUAUGAAGUAUCCAAAGGGUCAUAUGGAUAAUCUAAAAGGUCUCAUUAUGAUGUACUUAUUAGGGGAGUUAAAAGGUCACUUCUAGUGCCUAUAAAUAUGUGGCUAUCAUGAAGAAGAAUGCAUGGAAGAAAAAAGAAAGGAGUGGUAGAUAGAGAGGGCUUGAAAGAAAAAUUGUAUUCCUCUUGUACUACUCCAUUAUCUUAUAUAAAGUAUUUUCUUUCCAUGUUCUUGUGUUUCCACCACCAUUGCAUAUUCUAUCAAAUACUUGGGUGAUUUGAUCCCCAGUGAUCUAAGAUUACUGUGUUUGGUUGGCCAUGGUCCAGUGAUUAAAAAUUCCUGGGUAUUCAUGAGUAACUUAUUUGGUAUGGUACGGCGAUCCAAGAUCACCGACCACAUAAUACCACAAAUACCCCUGAUAAAUCUUAGUUAGAUUAUUUAUAUGUUUUUAAUUCUCAUAAAUUAAAAAUGUAAGUUAAUAUGCUAAUUCCUAUAAUAGCUCCAUAAUUUUGUCAUAUAUUCUACUUUUAAUAGCUCUUAAUAAGUUUCUUUUGCUUAUUCCCCUAUAAAUUUUUUUUUUUGAUUCUUUGACGACCAUUCAUGCUAAUAAAAUUUACUAUAGAGACAAUGACCAAGCGAUCUAGCGAAAUGCCACAUAUUUCCAAUGUGACCAAUUAUCCUUAAUGCAAUAUGCCGCCAAUUUUGGUACUGCAAAAGUCCAAGAUGAGCUAUUGCAGCACAUAAUUUCCAUUUGAUCAUGAGAAAAGAGAGGGGAAUGGUUCAAUGUCAUGGAUAUAAUUUAGAUAGAAAAGGCAAAACAUCAGCAUAUAUACUGAUAACACUAAGAAUGCAGAAUUGGCAAUGACCAAAAGAGACAAAUUACUUACGGACAAUCAGUAAUGUCCAAGCGAUCUAGCGAAAUGCCACAUAUUUCGAGUGUGACCAAUUAUCCUUAAUGCAAUAUGCCGCCAAUUUUGGUACUGCAAAAUUCCAAGAUGAGCUGUUGCAUCACAUAAUUUUCAUUUGAUCAUGAGAAAAGAGAGGAGAAUGGUUCAAUAUCCUGGAUAUAAUUUAGAUAGAAAAGUCAAAACAGCAACAUAUAUACUGAUAACACUAAGAAUUGUAACACCCGAAUCAAUAAAAAGCCAUAAACAUCAAAACUCCACCAAAUCCACAAACAUCUAAAGUAUAAAUGUGAGGAGGUCUAGGUAGCAUCACACUGGAUCACAGUCAAAUGAGGGUCUAUAUGGACCGCCCUCUAACUGCUUUAGCACAUAUCUUUCUCUUGAACUAUUGAGAUAGGGUAAAAAAGAAGUCAAUUUUGGACUUAUCUUUGUUAAUGACCUCGCCAGUAAUCAACAUAUCAUCCUCACUCAAAUCUUCAAUCUUCAUAAUCUCCUCAAACAAAACCAUACGCCUCUCAUCACUUUGCCCCUUCUUCUCAAAAAAGUUUGCAAUUUUCUUGAAGUCUUCCUUACUCCCUUCACAUGCACUGCUUAUCUUUCCCAUCUCAGUGACCAAGUUCUCUAUGAUAGUAUCAUUGUGCUUUCUCUUUUUACUUACUAAGCCUCCUUUUUUCUUGCCAAUUGUUGUGGUACUAGUACCAAUGCCUGUAGGUUGGCAAAUAGAUGAUGGUGAAUCUAUUGCAUUCGGAGAACCUUCCUUAGCAUCCAUAUCAUCUCCCAAACUUAUAGUAUCACCUAAAGCUUCCUCCUCUUUCUCAAUUUGUUCACAAGCAUCAGCUGGAUCCUCUGCACCCUCCCCAUUUGCUCUAUCCUUACCAAACAUAAUUGACAAGUCUUCAUAAUAAGGGAAAGGCUUGUUUCUCAGGCCAGUUGCAUGGGGAUGACUCUGUCAACACAAAACAAAAAUUAUUAAACAAUUUUAGAAAUACAAAAAAGUGAAAAAUUAUAUUGGAAAGGCGUAAGUUGAAAGCAAACUUAGAAAGCAUAUAUUUAUGUAAUACCUUCACCCAUAGGUCAUAAACAUCUUUGUCUGCCACCACACAUUUCUCUCUAUCAUUCCAUCCAAAUCCCAAGCAGUUUGGUCCUAAUAUUUCUGCAAUUGCAUUGUAUUGCUUUUUUAGUAACUUCACAUAAUUUUCAAUGUGUGGAUUUCCUCUUAGUCCACAACCAGGAAGCUUUUUUUCCAUCAUUCUCUCCAAAUGCUGGUGAAAUCCUGGCCUAAAUGUGCCAUUAUCACCCUUCCAACCACUAGCAUUCACUACCUCAAUAAGGCACUCAACCAGCUUUGCAUCUUCAGUCUUUGUCCAAAUUCUUUUCAAGGAAGUAGUUUUGUCUGCCCUUGAGUUUGGUUUUUUAUUUCCUUGAAAAAGUUGUUUUCCAUCCUAAAAAUUAGACAGAAAGAAUAAUAUAUUGCACACAUUGGACACAAGUAAUUGUACAUAUUUAAUUGAAUAAAAGAAGUGACAAAUAAAUCAUUGAAUAUUAUAUAGCAAACAUAAUUAAUAAAACAACAGCAAAAUAGAUGACGACAUUACAAAAAUAAUAGAAAAAAUUGUUCAAGUACAAAUAAGAAUUUUAUUAAACAUAUUAGGCUAUGCAUUUCGAUUAUUCAUCCAUUGCUCGAACAUAUCAUUUGCCAAAUUCUCCCUGAAAGCAGCCCAAGCAUCACUUGUCUCUACAUAGGUUAUUCUAUCACUAACUUCUUCCUCUUGUGAGCUAGUGACAUCCUCAACAACCUCGAUGUCCAUUGGGUCAAUAGGUAUUUCUUCUCUGAUAAAGUUGUGAAGAAGACAACAAGCACUUAUGAUUCCAUAUUGGGUUUUUACAGAGUAAAAUGACUUAGACCUUAGAAUUGCCCAUCUUCGUUUUAGCAACCCAAAGCACCUCUCUAUAACAUUCCUAGCCCGAGAGUGCUUCAUGUUAAAGAACUCAUGAGCAUUUGUGGGUUGUUGACUCUGUCUCCACUCAUUCAAAUGGUAUCUUUGUCCUCUAUAAGGAGCCAAAAAGCCUUCAGCAUUUGCGUAUCCAGCAUCACAUAGAUAAUAGUAACCUGUAUAUUGUAAAAUACGAUAAUUACUUUCAAAAUAAGUACUGCAUCACUUGGUAUGAGAAUUUGGCUAUUCUAUUUAUCAUUUUUUUACUUAUCUUGGGGCACUUUUAAGCCAUUUCUCCUCAAAAUGGCAUCUCGAAGCACUCGAGAAUCAGUAGCUGAUCCCUCCCACCCAGGCAAUACAUAAAUGAAUUGCAUGUCUCGAGUGCAAACACCAUGGACAUUAGUAGCAAUCUCACCCUUGCAGCUUCGAUAUCUAGGCUUGUCGACCUCUCUACAUUGACCCUUAUGUAUGUUCCAUCAAGUGCUCCGAGGCAGCUCUACAUUUAUAAGAUAGUUUAUUUAGUUUAGUAGUAUAAUUUAAUUGAUACAACUAAAAGUAGUGGUAAAGAGUACCUUGAACCACUUCCACCUCUCAUCUGUACAAUUCUCCGUCACAACUUCAGGUUUCCGUAACAACAUGGAAUGGAGACAUAGCACAGAGUUGAGAAUAGCAUGAAAUUGUCUACUUAUUGUCUCGCUAGAACGGACGACUUGUCUCUUAAUUAUCCUAUUCUUCACAUCAUGUAAAAUUAUAUGUAAAAAUAUGGCAACCAUUUCCUCUACAUCCAUAUUUUUAGAGGAUUUGAGUCUUCCUUGUGUUUUUAGUAAAUGACAUAAUUUGUGAAAGGCUCUCCUAUCCAUUCGUAUAUUUUCAACAGAGGCUAAGUUACUAUCAAACACAA
rnacentral:lncRNA from 1 species